UAAUACAGAGACUGCGAGCGUUACUCGGAUUCACUGGGCGUAAAGGGUGCGUAGGCGGCUAAAUGUGUCAGAUGUGAAAGCCCGGGGCUCAACUCCGGAACUGCGUCUGAAACUAUUUAGCUAGAGACUCGGCGAGGUAAGCGGAAUUCCAAGUGUAGCAGUGAAAUGCGUAGAUAUUUGGAGGAACACCGAAGGCGAAGGCAGCUUACUGGAAGAGAUCUGACGCUGAGGCACGAAAGCGUGGGGAGCAAAAGGGAUUAGAUACCCCUGUAGUCCACGCUGUAAACGUUGUACACUAGGUCUUGGAGGAAUCGACCCCUUCAGGGCUCAAGCUAACGUGAUAAGUGUACCGCCUGAGGACUACGACCGCAAGGUUA
rnacentral:rRNA from 1 species